rnacentral:sRNA from 1 species
UAAAAUCUAACAUAAGGUGUGACGAUGC